GAGUUUGAUCUUGGCUCAGAUUGAACGCUGGCGGCAUGCCUAACACAUGCAAGUCGAACGGCAGCACUGGGAGCUUGCUCCCUGGUGGCGAGUGGCGGACGGGUGAGUAACGCGUAGGAAUCUGCCUCAGUAGCGGGGGACAACUCGGGGAAACUCGAGCUAAUACCGCAGUACUACUCGAGAGAGGAAAGCAGGGGACCUUCGGGCCUUGCACUAUGAGAUGAGCCUGCGUUGGAGUUAG
rnacentral:rRNA from 1 species